UACAGAGGGUGCGAGCGUUAAUCGGAAUUACUGGGCGUAAAGCGUGCGUAGACGGUUAUUUAAGUCGGAUGUGAAAGCCCCGGGCUCAACCUGGGAAUUGCAUUCGAGACUGAAUAGCUAGGGUACGGUAGAGGGAAGCGGAAUUUCCGGUGUAGCGGUGAAAUGCGUAGAUAUCGGAAGGAACAUCAGUGGCGAAAGCGGCUUCCUGGACCAGUACCGACGUUCAGGCACGAAAGCGUGGGGAGCAAACGGG
rnacentral:rRNA from 1 species